rnacentral:rRNA from 1 species
CCUACGGGUGGCUGCAGUGGGGAAUAUUGGACAAUGGGCGAAAGCCUGAUCCAGCCAUGCCGCGUGUGUGAAGAAGGCCUUCGGGUUGUAAAGCACUUUCAGUGGGGAAGAAAGCCUUGGGGCUAAUACCCUCGAGGAAGGACAUCACCCACAGAAGAAGCACCGGCUAACUCCGUGCCAGCAGCCGCGGUAAUACGGAGGGUGCGAGCGUUAAUCGGAAUUACUGGGCGUAAAGCGCGCGUAGGCGGUCUGAUAAGCCGGUUGUGAAAGCCCCGGGCUCAACCUGGGAACGGCAUCCGGAACUGUCAGGCUAGAGUGCAGGAGAGGUAGGUAGAAUUCCCGGUGUAGCGGUGAAAUGCGUAGAGAUCGGGAGGAAUACCAGUGGCGAAGGCGGCCUUCUGGACUGACACUGACGCUGAGGUGCGAAAGCGUGGGUAGCAAACAGGAUUAGAUACCCUGGUAGUC